UUAACUUUCGUCGUGCCAUCCAACUACGAUCUAAAAAGAGGUUCAUGAUACGCCAAACCUGAAGUGUAAUUCUGAAUUCACUAUAAAAAUGACACAUUAUUAACCAGUAGAGUCGUAAAACUUAGUAAUAGUACAUAAUUACACUUGUCUCGACUGUUAAGUUGCUUAAUCUCAUUCUGAUUCAUCAUUCAAUAUAUUGUUUGUGUUUACGAUGCCUUUAUUUGAGCAGUUUAUGCAAUAUUAUUUUAAUGUUGUGUAUCUCUUAGUUUCUUAUCUAACAUAGAAGGCAAAUAGGCUCUUGGUUGAUUUAAAUUCUCAUAAUAAUAACAAUUAAUAUUGGGUGGGUGCAAAAGCAGAGAUGAAGUCCAGGAUAAUUACAUGCAUUAGUCAGGAUACGAGUACUCUUGAGUAUAGAAACAAGGGAAAACAUUUAAGGUGGAGCACAAAAUCGAGCAUACAUAAAGGACUAGAACAAAAUAAAAAUAUUCUGAGUACGAUAAAAAAAUAUUACUCCAAAAAACAAGAGCCUGUAAUUAAAUAGAGAUGAAUAAUGAUAAACAACACUAACUCACACUCAUUAAAAAGCGAGAAGAUUUGAUGAACAUUUAUAUUCACGAAACUUAGAACUAAUAAUUUCCAAAAUAGAAGCACCUUCUUUUUUAAAUUGUAGAAACAAGUAAACAACCAAUAUAUGCAAAUCCUGCUUAUCAAUGUCUAUAAGACUAACACAUCCAUUUUAAAAAUUAAUGUAAUUAUUUACUGGAAUUUCUGCAAGGAUCGUAGUAGAACAGAAAAAGGUCGAAUUCAUUUCACACGAAAUGACAGAAAAAAUAAAAUUCCACUGAUGGAAAGGAUUUAAAGGUAAUGGCAAAGAAUUUCAGUUUCCUAAAUGAGAUUUGAAGUAUACAAAAUAUUUGCACAUACUGUAGUUCCACAUUGCAAUGCCUAAAAGAGUAUAUCACACUAACUCCAAAAAAAACGAACAGAAAACAGAGUAUUACAUUUUAAAGAAGCACAACUCUAUACUAACCCAUAUUGAUCACCAUAAGCAGGAGAAUGUAACCAGUAGAUUUAUAAUCAAGUUUAGAUAUCUAGCAUGACAUCCUAUGUCCAUGGGAAUUAGUUAUUUUUUGGUUAAAUAUGUAAUUAGCUAAACCGAUCUCACAUGCAAUCAGGGACCUCCUGUUAUACCCUGUGCAAUUGCUUGUUUAUCAAUGUUUUACUCAUACAUCGGCUCUCACAUCAGUAUGGGUAACUAUUCAACAGGUGCAGUUGUCAACUCUCCCACAUUUCACAAAUGCCAGAGUUACCAGGGAAAAACUUUACCAAGGCAAUUUUAAAAAGAAAUUUAGACUAAUUUGGGAAAAAACUUAAAACCAAAACAUGACUCUAUAGUACAAGUUGCAUCCAGGAACAUCUAUUAUUUAAAAUAAUAAAACCACAUAUAUUACAACAUAACAAAACACCCGUUUAGGCAUCACAAACAGACUAACACGAUAUAUAUAACCAAUUCCAACUAGUAAACAAAUUAAAAACCAAUUACUUUGAUACACAAAUUUCCGGUGCAAAUAAUAUGUUGAAUCUUGCUAGGAACACACAUAGACUUGAACUUGAGAGGUAAAUCAGGUGCUCUAUGUGAAAUAUGAAGAUCACCCAAUGCUAAGACUAACUGGUUGUAGGAUGUAUGCCACUUGCAAAGCUACUAUGCAGGCUGUAUUUAGCGAGAUAACAUGUUGCCGUUUUGUACUAAUAUUACAACAUUUCGGCGAAAAGAAAUUAACAUAUAACUUGGCACUUCACAGAGCAUAACCAGCAUUUGUAAAAGCCACACAAACCAGAGUUACUAAUAGUUCACGACCUUGAGUCACUGAACCCCAAACUUACAGCAUAUUUUCUGAAAAAAGGAAUAAACCACCCACCAAGCCCCCCAAGCUAGCCUACACCCCUGCAGAGAACUAUCUAAAAAUUCCUUUAACAAGAUUAUUUACCACAAACAAAACAAUCAAAAUUUCACCCAAAAUAUUCAAAAAUUAUGUUAGAGAAAGAUGAAUCAAUAAAUCCACAUACAUGAGAAAGACUAAGUUUACAAGCCCAUCAAAAAUUAAUCGAAGCACACACCAAAUUGAUCAUGGUUAUCAAAAACAGUAAAACCAAAAUUCAUAUACAUACACAUAAAUACAUACACAUAAACCAAACACAGUAAGCGAAAUUGCAAGUAUACAGGAGGGAUUAUUACCAGAACGAGGUCGUGGGAGGAGUUAGGUUUGGGCAAAUGUGAUCCUGGCCACCAGAGUAACUGCAACUGUGAUCUCGCCGCGAGAGAACUCUGAUGAUGAAGGCCGAGGGUUUCCGGGUUGGAAAAUAUAAA
rnacentral:lncRNA from 1 species